rfam:Anaerocolumna xylanovorans DSM 12503 genome assembly, contig: EJ36DRAFT_scaffold00008.8
GGAGAAUCAGCUCUGUACAAUUCAAUCCGAUGAAACACUGUACAGAGC